CAGUGGGUGCAAGUCCCACCCGGGAACUGGUUCGUUCCGCCCGGUAGCAAUCGGAGCAGCGGUGGAGGUAACAAAGCUGCUGAAGCCUCCGAUGGAAGAGGGUCGUAAAGGCGACUCUGCAAGCGUGCAGGCCGUAACGUGA
rnacentral:ncRNA from 1 species